AGAGCGAACGCUGGCGGCAGGCUUAACACAUGCAAGUCGAGCGGGCGUAGCAAUACGUCAGCGGCAGCCGGGUGAGUAACGCGUGGGAACAUACCUUUUGGUUCGGAACAACACAGGGAAACUUGUGCUAAUACCGGAUAAGCCCUUACGGGGAAAGAUUUAUCGCCGAAAGAUUGGCCCGCGUCUGAUUAGCUAGUUGGUGAGGUAAUGGCUCACCAAGGCGACGAUCAGUAGCUGGUCUGAGAGGAUGAUCAGCCACAUUGGGACUGAGACACGGCCCAAACUCCUACGGGAGGCAGCAGUGGGGAAUAUUGGACAAUGGGCGCAAGCCUGAUCCAGCCAUGCCGCGUGAGUGAUGAAGGCCCUAGGGUUGUAAAGCUCUUUUGUGCGGGAAGAUAAUGACGGUACCGCAAGAAUAAGCCCCGGCUAACUUCGCGCCAGCAGCCGC
rnacentral:rRNA from 1 species